rnacentral:rRNA from 1 species
AGAGUUUGAUCCUGGCUCAGGACGAACGCUGGCGGCGUGCCUAAUACAUGCAAGUAGAACGCUGAAGGGAGGAGCUUGCUCUUCUUGGAUGAGUUGCGAACGGGUGAGUAACGCGUAGGUAACCUGCCUUGUAGCGGGGGAUAACUAUUGGAAACGAUAGCUAAUACCGCAUAACAAUGGAUGACACAUGUCAUUUAUUUGAAAGGGGCAAUUGUUCCACUACAAGAUGGACCUGCGUUGUAUUAGCUAGUAGGUGAGGUAAUGGCUCACCUAGGCGACGAUACAUAGCCGACCUGAGAGGGUGAUCGGCCACACUGGGACUGAGACACGGCCCAGACUCCUACGGGAGGCAGCAGUAGGGAAUCUUCGGCAUGGGGGCAACCCUGACCGAGCAACGCCGCGUGAGUGAAGAAGGUUUUCGGAUCGUAAAGCUCUGUUGUAAGUCAAGAACGGGUGUGAGAGUGGAAAGUUCACACUGUGACGGUAGCUUACCAGAAAGGGACGGCUAACUACGUGCCAGCAGCCGCGGUAAUACGUAGGUCCCGAGCGUUGUCCGGAUUUAUUGGGCGUAAAGCGAGCGCAGGCGGUUUGAUAAGUCUGAAGUUAAAGGCUGUGGCUCAACCAUAGUUCGCUUUGGAAACUGUCAAACUUGAGUGCAGAAGGGGAGAGUGGAAUUCCAUGGGUAGCGGUGAAAUGCGUAGAUAUAUGGAGGAACACCGGUGGCGAAAGCGGCUCUCUGGUCUGUAACUGACGCUGAGGCUCGAAAGCGUGGGGAGCGAACAGGAUUAGAUACCCUGGUAGUCCACGCCGUAAACGAUGAGUGCUAGGUGUUGGAUCCUUUCCGGGAUUCAGUGCCGCAGCUAACGCAUUAAGCACUCCGCCUGGGGAGUACGACCGCAAGGUUGAAACUCAAAGGAAUUGACGGGGGCCCGCACAAGCGGUGGAGCAUGUGGUUUAAUUCGAAGCAACGCGAAGAACCUUACCAGGUCUUGACAUCCCGAUGCUAUUUCUAGAGAUAGAAAGUUACUUCGGUACAUCGGUGACAGGUGGUGCAUGGUUGUCGUCAGCUCGUGUCGUGAGAUGUUGGGUUAAGUCCCGCAACGAGCGCAACCCCUAUUGUUAGUUGCCAUCAUUCAGUUGGGCACUCUAGCGAGACUGCCGGUAAUAAACCGGAGGAAGGUGGGGAUGACGUCAAAUCAUCAUGCCCCUUAUGACCUGGGCUACACACGUGCUACAAUGGUUGGUACAACGAGUUGCGAGUCGGUGACGGCGAGCUAAUCUCUUAAAGCCAAUCUCAGUUCGGAUUGUAGGCUGCAACUCGCCUACAUGAAGUCGGAAGCGCUAGUAAUCGCGGAUCAGCACGCCGCGGUGAAUACGUUCCCGGGCCUUGUACACACCGCCCUUCACACCACGAGAGUUUGUAACACCCGAAGUCGGUGAGGUAACCUUUUGGAGCCAGCCGCCUAAGGUGGGACAGAUGAUUGGGGUGAAGUCGUAACAAGGUA